CCAAUAGCGUAUAUUAAAGUUGUUGCAGUUAAAAAGCUCGUAGUUGAAUUUCGGGGUCAGUAGGUUGGUCAUGCCACUGGUAUGUACUGGCCUCACUGAUUCCUCCUUCCUGAUGGGCCGUAAUGCCAUUAAUUUGGUGUUGCGAGGAAUCUGGACUGUUACUUUGAAAAAAUUAGAGUGUUUAAAGCAGGCUAACGCUUGAAUACAUUAGCAUGGAAUAAUGAAAUAGGACGUUCGAUCUUAUUUUGUUGGUUUCUAAGAUUGACGUAAUGAUUAAUAGGGAUAGUUGGGGGCAUUAGUAUUCAAUUGUCAGAGGUGAAAUUCUUGGAUUUAUUGAAGACUAACUACUGCGAAAGCAUUUGCCAAGGAUGUUUUCAUUAAUCAAGAACGAAAGUUAGGGGAUCGAAGACGAUCAGAUACCGUCGUAGUCUUAACCAUAAACUAUGCCGACUAGGGAUCGGAUGAUGUUAAUUUUUUAAUGACUCAUUCGGCGCCUUACG
rnacentral:rRNA from 1 species